rnacentral:rRNA from 1 species
UGAACGCUGGCGGCGUGCCUAAUACAUGCAAGUCGAGCGAACAGAUGAGGAGCUUGCUCCUCUGCCGUUAGCGGCGGACGGGUGAGUAACACGUGGAUAACCUACCUAUAAGACUGGGAUAACUUCGGGAAACCGGAGCUAAUACCGGAUAAUAUAUUGAACCGCAUGGUUCAAUAGUGAAAGACGGUUUUGCUGUCACUUAUAGAUGGAUCCGCGCCGCAUUAGCUAGUUGGUAAGGUAACGGCUUACCAAGGCGACGAUGCGUAGCCGACCUGAGAGGGUGAUCGGCCACACUGGAACUGAGACACGGUCCAGACUCCUACGGGAGGCAGCAGUAGGGAAUCUUCCGCAAUGGGCGAAAGCCUGACGGAGCAACGCCGCGUGAGUGAUGAAGGUCUUCGGAUCGUAAAACUCUGUUAUUAGGGAAGAACAAAUGUGUAAGUAACUAUGCACGUCUUGACGGUACCUAAUCAGAAAGCCACGGCUAACUACGUG